AUUGAACGCUGGCGGCAUGCUUUACACAUGCAAGUCGAACGGUAACAGGGUGCUUGCACCGCUGACGAGUGGCGAACGGGUGAGUAAUGCGUCGGAACGUGCCGAGUAGUGGGGGAUAACGCAUCGAAAGGUGUGCUAAUACCGCAUACGUACUGAGGUAGAGAGUGGGGGACCUUCGGGCCUCACGCUAUUCGAGCGGCCGACGUCUGAUUAGCUAGUUGGUGAGGUAAAGGCUCACCAAGGCGACGAUCAGUAGCGGGUCUGAGAGGAUGAUCCGCCACACUGGGACUGAGACACGGCCCAGACUCCUACGGGAGGCAGCAGUGGGGAAUCUUGGACAAUGGGCGCAAGCCUGAUCCAGCCAUGCCGCGUGUCUGAAGAAGGCCUUCGGGUUGUAAAGGACUUUUGUCCGGGAGCAAAUGCCUGGUGUUAAUAGCACUGGGAGCUGAGAGUACCGGAAGAAUAAGCACCGGCUAACUACGUGCCAGCAGCCGCCGUAAGAC
rnacentral:rRNA from 1 species